GGGCCCGGGCCAUCGGCGGAAGUCCCCUGCGCCGUCGUGGGGCGGGACCGACGGCGUGGCCCGGGCCCGGGGAGCCCCCGGUGAGCGCGGACCCGCCUGGCGCGAAGGCGGGGCGCGGCCGCAGAGCCCGCUGGGCCCGCCGCGCUGUGCCGGUGCUGGCGGCCGCGGGCCGUGCCGGGACUGAAGUGAGCGCUCGAGUGUCCCACUUUUAUCGGGAGGAGGAGCUGCUGUGUGCCAUGGUGAAUCGCUUCUGGCCGGUCUUAGUCUUACUAACAGACGCGGCUUAGUCAUUCUCGGUGGGGACCCAGACACCUCGGCUCUGCACGGGCGGCCCUUCGGAGCUGCUUUUGUUGGAAAACAGGCCCGCAGCGCCCGCUGAGACGGGAACGGGCUGGCCCCGUGUGGGAAGAGCAGGGUACUCAUUACAUUAUCUUGCCUACCACUGGGUCGGUAGGUGGAGAGAGAAAAAAAUCCUGCUGACGUUUCGCUGUAGUUGUUGCUAUUGAAAAUGCCAGGUUGCUUCAAAGGACUAACCACAAGGAAGAGGAAAAACACCCUUAGCGAAAUAGUGGAGGGAGCUGCCUCAGCAGCAUGAAGAAACCUGUUCGAAAGUGGCGCAGAAAACGUAGUGCCAGGCCCAGAUGUUUUUACAGGCCAACCCUGCAAGUCUUCUCCUGGGGAUUUCCAGAGAAGGUGUGCUUGCCGUGGAGGUCUCCCCAUCUGGUCCCGGGUCUUGCUUGCAAUGGUAGUCCUGCCUCACCCUCCUCUAGCAGGGGGCACUGGACAUGCCCAGUUCCUUCCCUGGAGCAACUGGUGCCAGUGGGUUUGGUCACUCCCGGUACCUGCCGUCUGGAGCCUCUUUCAGGACCUGUCCCUCCGGUCGCUCUCCAGAGAGACCCUGUGCCACUCAUUAUAGCACGUGACUUCUCUCUCCGAGCCACUGCCUGAAGUGGACGAGGUCCAGGCUUUGUGCUGCAGACAAACUAGCCAUCUGGACACACCCAAGACAUGCCCCCCGCCCCCAGGCAGUGACUGGAAGAUUAAAAAAACAAAAAAACCCACCCUGUGUUAGAGCCCUGGUGUCAUUAUACUCAUUUACCUGCAAGCUGGUACUGUAAUACCCUCAAGGGAAAGCUUGCCGUUCUAUCCCAAAAUAGAAACACCGAGAUACAAAUUCUGCCUUGAGAGGGACUAAGUAAGGAUUCUUGUAGAAUGGAGCUUUUCUUCUCCAAAUGAAGGGCAUUUCCUUUUUAUUUUACACUAGGAGUUUAAUGUCGAAACCGAGUUGUUGUAACUUCCCUAAUGAAAUGCCUGCUGGAGAAUGGAGAGGCUAUUUUAGUUCUGGUCUCCCUUGCCAUAAAAGGCUCCGGGAUCAAGGGGGUUAAGGCUGGCCCUGGAUCCGGGACAGCAAUUCCUUAUAUUGUAUCAAAAGUCUUUCAUGCUGCCUGGCCUUUCAUGUAGCUCCGAAGCAGCUUUAUCGAUCUAUGCUAAGUAAACAUAGCUUUGUUUUCGUCUUCCACCCUCCGCCCUCCCUCCCGGCACAGACUGGAGUUGGAUCCCUUCCAAAGCGGCUGCUGCAGCAGCAAGAGCCGCCUCCUCCACACACAGAAGCAGGGCUUCUAGGAAACAGAAACCCAAGGUAUUGAAAGAUUGAGUGAUUUGCCUACAGUAGCAUUAACGUUUUAUGUACAGAGGAGACACAGAAGGCUCCCUGCAGAAGGAAAAAAGGAAGAAAAAUUUAAAAGACUCAUCAUGGGCUAUAAUUAAUUAAUUGGAGUAAGUGUGCAUUAGCACAUCUGCUCCUGUGCCCACAUGGCAAUGCCUCUUUGCCAAGGGGAGUGCAGAAUCAUCGAGACAAUCCAGAUUCAUGCUCAGAACUGAGUUGACACAGAGAAGAAGAAAGCCGAACUUUGUCUUGAGAACAGACAGCCCAAGUUUGUGACCUGCCGAAAGACCACCAGUGGACAGAAAUAGAGAAACAGAUUUCCUAUUGCGACUGCCUAAAUAUAGUGUGUUUACUAAAAAGCUGGUCACAGCUAAAAUGCAAGUACGGAUGAACUUUGAUGGAUUUGUUGGCCUGCCUUGUCAGCCCUUCCAGCAAAUUCCUUAGUGAGGAAACAGGUCUGAAAACUUGCCUGGGAACUUCACACAUGGGCACUUCCUAGGGGCUAUCUCUUAGCAUUUCAGAGAUAGCUAGAUUUUGAACAUUUUUCAGAUUGCUUUUAUUCCACUACCUAUCGAUCUACCUACAUUUGCAUUAACAGAUCAAUUCGUUCUUCUUCACCAUGACUAAGACGUCAUGUCUGCUCACUUUAUCAAUUUAUUGGAGCACCAGGGAAAUGAAGACUUUGCUGUAAACAACAGCCAGAAUCCACGUUUCCCGGACUGCAGUUCUUUCUUUAGCCCACUGGUGGGCUACCUCCUAUUUCUGUUUUCUUCCCAGGUUCUUUUUUUACAUACAUGUAAAUACCCACAUAGGAAGUGGGCAAGGAACCAUAGGUUCUGUUCACACACCCAGCAGAUCACCUGAUGCAGGUCACUUGGAAACCCUGGGCUGGCGUUUUUCUCUACUGGGAGAUGAGACGCUGAACUCGAUGCCAUUUCCACCCAGACCCUUCCCACGGUGCGUGAUUUCAUGGGCAUACAGGGGACUUUGACAAACCCAAGCCCCACAUUCUUCUGACACAAGUGGCAUCACAAAACAAUGCAUAGGAGUGA